rnacentral:misc_RNA from 1 species
AUGUGGAAAAAGCAGUAUCUCUUCUUUCCUCAAACCCACUACCUGGAGCAUUUUUCCCACUACAAGUCUUGAACAGCAUCUCCAUUCCAGAGAUUUGAGGGAAACCAGCAACCUCAUAGAGCAUGUAACAGCCAUAAAGCUGGAUUCUUGCAGCAACAGGCUUACUUCCACAUAACUUAUCUAUGAGUAUUGGCAAACCACUAACACAUUUAUAACAAUCAACAUUAGAAAGGUCACCUCUACACUGAAAAAGACCAGAAAUUGUAGAUUGCCCACUACCAGUACUAGUCUUAUAGAACUUAGACUUUCUUCCCUUUUUG